UAAUGCCUGAAAGAAUACAAACAGGUUUCCAAGUCUAUUAGAUAAUUGCGAUCUGAAAGGCAUUCAUAAAAGACACAAACCUUGGCGAGUCCUACUAAUACCUGACAGCACAUUAGCAAACACUGUGUCGCAUUAUACUACUUUAAUCUUUUCUCGAUAAUCCAUUCUUUUCAGGGAUAAUGGAAAGGAAAACAGAAAAGUGAAAACUCUCAUUACAGAGCAAGCACUGAAUAAAUAUAUGAGAGUAAAACAUAUAUACACAUAAAUAUUCUAGAAGUGGUGACUUCUAAUUUCAUCCUCAAAAAAAAAAAAAAAUUGGAAAAGCUUCCACAGCAGAUGAGGGCAGGCUGGUGAUUAUCUGUUUUAUUAACAGGACCACAGUGUCCCAGAAGUGAAGUUCCAGGUGACAAGAAAGGUCAGGGGGUCCCUGUAUUGAUCCUGCUGAAGGAGGUCACUUUUUAUUGUGCAGUAUUAAUGAUGAGAACAUUUAUCUCCCCCCUCCACUUCGACAUCCUCAGACAGCUUCCCAAGCCCUCAUUAAGACCCCGAGGUCCCCACCCUGUGCUAUUAUUCUUGCAUGAAUUACUUUACAUUUCAGUGCUGUUAUUUAAUGUUUCAUCAGUUAACACUCUCCCAGUGCAGCAAACCCUCAGAAUCGGAUGGAUGGGGGAAGGAAGGAAGGCUUUCGUGAAUGUGUGAAAAGACAGAACAAGGGAGUAUUUCAGAACAAACUGAAAAGCCAUUUCGGGUUUACUCUGAGAACGUGCGCACGCACACGGGCACACACACACCCUAACACAACAAAGUUUACCUACUACAGCUCCUCGGGGGAACCGACUCAGGGAAAGGCUAAGAGUAUUCUGUAAUUAGCAUAGCACACAGUUUGGAUGUGAAGGCACCGCGGUGAUCGCAGAAUCAAGGGUCGGGUGUGAAAUGCACAGUGAACCUGGCUACCAUGAGGGGAUGUAAAAUGAUUACUGGAAAUGUUUUUUAAAAAUGGAAACACAAUUAAGGGGAGAUUGGGGAUCCUUAGGAUUCAUUCAACUUUCAAAUGGGUAUAGUAACAGUACGUGCCUUCUAGUGUUGUUACAGAGAUUAAAUGAGAUGAUGCACGUCACAGGCUUGGCACGGGGCUGGACUGCUGGGAAGGGCUCGAUGCUGAUGAUGAGGAUGGUGAUGAUCAAAGUGUAUUUAGCCCCCAGGUGCAACAGCAUCCCCCUCAGUCAGUGUUGACAGAAAAUUCAAGAAGGAAGGACGGGAGAGCUGAGAGCUCUGAGCACAGGCAUCAGACCAUCUGGAUCAUCCCCUUCUGGUACUUAGCUGUGAGAGUGUGGCCCUACUGAUGUCCUGCUGGCUGGAAUGUGGAAGAAGGCUGCGUGAGGGGUGAGAAAACACUUUAGACCAUGAGGUGGCCUGAGGACAAGAGACUGGGGGCCUGGGUCUGUGAGGAUGUCCCAGAGCAGAGGCACCCACCAGCAGCAGACUGCCCACCGCAGAACUUCAUGUGGGACAGAAAUCAACUUGCCUGUUGCUUGAGCCCCAGGUAGCUUGCGUCUGUUUCCUGCAGCAAAACUGAAUCCUAAUGGAUUCAGUAAUGUGCCUAUUACCCAGAAGGGUUCUUGGAAGGGUAUUUGGAAGAUGCAUGGCCCAGAACCCAGAGAAAGGACCAGAUGGGAAGGACCUGGUUCUUCUGUAAGCAGGUCACAAACCAGCCCUUUAGGUAGGUCGUUGCUCAGAUUUAUCACUGUGGUCUUCUGUUCACAUCUGUCUGGUGGGAUGCUGUGUGCAGAUUGUAAACACACAGAUGGAGGGAUUAUGGGUAACAUUUCUAAUAGUAACAUGAGCUUUUAAUGACACUGGAUUCAGCUAAUCAACUCCCCGUAUCACCCAUCGUCAGUGAAUCACCAACCAGGAAGAAUGGUGAGAGGACACUGUGCUUAGUAGAUCUUACAGUUGAUGACAAAAACUGCUCAGACAAGAAAAACGAUUAUAAAUAAAUGAUGAGAACUUCUCUAGCCAUCUGACACAGAUUAUUUUCUGACCUCAUAACAAGCAUACAAGUUUAGGAUUUAUGAUCACCUGUUUCUAUAUGAAGAAACAGGUUUAGAGAGGCUUGGUGACUUGCCCAAGGUCACUAACAGCCCAUUAGUAAAGGGGUUGAGCUCGGAUUCACACCCACGACUGUCUGACUCUAACCCCACACCUCUCGUGCACUAAGCUACACAGUAGCUAGACGUACAAGACGUACAAGUAUGCAGAUUCACUAGCGGCUUUGCCCACCACUCCUUCACACAGCUUGGUGGUUUAAGGUAUCAAGGAGAUAGAAAAAAAUAAGGCCGUGGGCGGGGGAGUGGGGAGCUGGCAAGGUGACUCAAAGGCAGGGGAAGAGGCAUUUCCCCAUACGUUUUGCACACUUUGGUGGGGAGAGGCUGAUCCAGCUACCUUAUUAACUCCUCAACCACCUUCUUGGCUUGUAAGGGCAGAGAUGUUGCUGCAUCCUUUCUGUGGUGUCUUAUAAUACCUAGAAAGUAAUUUUAAAAGAAUGUAUUACAAGCCAGCCACUUUAUCACAAAAGGUCUUAGGCCAAUAAUUGCUUUCAUUAUAUAAAACCUAUAAAAUAUAUUUUUCUAAUUUCAUAUUAGAGCCAAAUGAAGGUCAAGAGAAAAGUCUGGGGGAACCUGGGUGGCUCCUUCAGUGAAGCGUCUGCCUUCGGCUCAGGCCAUGAUCCCAGGGUCCUACUCAGUAGAGAGCCUGUGUCCCCCUCUCCCUCUGCCUCUCUGAGACCUCCUCACCCCCCCGCGCUGGCUUGUGCUCUCUUGCUCUCUGUCAAAUAAAUAAAAUUUUUUAAAAAAAGAGAGAGAGAGAGAAAAAAUCUGGUUCUUAUACCCAAGUGGAUUUAGAGGGGGUUUGAAGUAAGAGAGAAGAACACUGCUUCCAGAGGUUCGUAGAAGCAGCCUGAGCCCAGAGCUGCAAGUGCAAGGCUCAGAAGCUUCUGAGCUGAGGUUUUCCUUAAGCUGGAGUUGGCAGCCCUGGGACGGCUACUGGAUGCCCCCUGCAAUGCUGCUCUUGGCUGCCCUACAUCCCCUCUCCCCUCUUUUUCCUUCCCGCAAAGACAGAGAGCCCAAAGAUUCCUGGAUCAAGGAAUUUUGCUUGCCCCCCCCGCAGAAUAAUGAGGAAGGAAGGCCUUUUCCAUCUUGAAGAAGAAAAUUAAGUUAAUGGAGAGAAUUUCCUCAAAUGUAAGUUUCUGUCAUAAAAUUUCUAUACUUGCUAGCAUUUGCUAACAUUUGUUCAUGAUAGAGUCAAGUAAGAAUCUGUCUUAUUUAGCCCAAAAUGACUGGUUUCAGUACUUUCGGCUUAAUAUGAAUAUGUCACAGUUUGUUUUUUGGCAAAGCACGCCCAUGAGUUUCAGACUGAUGUAGAGUGAUGAGGCAUUUCCACUGGUGUGUCUCCAGAAAAAGAGGAAAGAGGGCCAAGGCUUUUGGGGUUUUAGGGUUUAGGGGGAGGGCAGAUUCUAGUUCUUUUUCUUAUU